AUAUAUAUAUAUAUAUAUAUAUAUAUAUACAUAUAUAUAUAUAUAUAUAUAUAUAUAUACUCAACUGCAUGGUGGAUCACAGACACAGGGUCAGCGUGCUCUUUUAAAUCUUAAGCUCGAAUAAAAGUAUGGAAUUUCUGCAACAACAAAAAAUCUUUUCAAAAGGAAAAUAAAGGGACUAAUGGGGCGAGCCAACAUGUCUUUAUUCACAUCUGUCAUUUCCUCAGAAAACAUGAG